GACUAUAAUGUGACUAUUGCAUUGGAUAGAGUUUUCCAAUGGCAUUGUUUUCUACCUAUCUGACCUAUGUUGAGUUUCGCCAAGACUUGACGGGACCAUCACAUCUUUUGACCACCCCAAAGUCUCACUCGUUGCGCCAACACAGCAGAGAGUUUGUGAGGAGGGGCCUAUAUCCCUGAUCAGCGGCUUAUCCUUUCGUCCACCACAACACUAACUCACACAGUAACUGAUGACAAUCCUUUCCAACUAAUGCUCACUGAAUUUAUCCUCAGCGCUUCUGUUGACACAGCAUGGCACCAGGGACGGAUCCAGUGAUCCACUAACUUUUCCUAUAAGAGAUCUAGACGGACCUGAAAAAAGCACCUCCUGUAGUUCCCGCCUAAACAGUAUCGAAAGAUUGAUCUAGAAGCUUUGACAGAGUUUUAGCUCUUUAUGUCUGCCACAUUGACUUUCUGAUGAAUAAAGGAAAAAAUCGUAGGUGAUAAGGUGACGUUUGCAGAGCGGCGUCUAUUAAAUAUCAUACCUUUAUGUUUGAAGCUGAGACCGGCGAUAUUCCCAAGUAAUACGGCAGAUGAAGACACAAGUUUUAGUAAGGGAGGGCUCCUGCAGAGAUCAAUUCACGGACGCUAAUGUUGCCUUGAAUUAUAGUAUGAUAACCGACAGAGUGACGUUUGCAGAGCGGCGUCUAUUGAAUAUCAUACCUUUAUGUUUGAAGCUGAGACCGGCGAUAUUCCCAAGUAAUACGGCAGAUGAAGACACAAGUUUUAGUAAGGGAGGGCUCCUGCAGAGAUCAAUUCACGGACUCAAAUGUUGCCUUGAAUUAUAGUAUGAUAACCGACAGAGAUCAAGUCAAAGUCAGGCCUGCAGCGACGAGCCCCUUUCUUUCGGAUUGUGAAGUGUAAUGUUAAUGUUUAAUGUAGCUGUUUAACGUCGAAAAUUGUUAGUUUGUAAUUGUUUUUGAGAAGCAAAAUAAUUAAUCUGAGAAGUGUUUUCAGUUUUAUAAAGCUCAGGCAUGGGCACCGUAUUGUUUAUUUAGUUAUAUUUUAUACAAUAUCUUUGACCUUUGUCGCAUUAAGUUGUAGUACUACUACUAGUAGCGGGGUAGUACUAGUAAAUACUGAAUACUGUGUUUCGUUUAUUCUAUAAGUAUAUAAAUAUUGCAUUGUGUAUCUUUGUCGCAUAGUACAUAGUAUAAGUUGAUAAGUAGCGAGGUAGUUGAUACUGUUUCGUGAUGUAUUUUGAUCGUACAAUCUUAAUUAUUCGUAUUAUUAUACCGCAAUUCCUGUAUUUUAUCGUCUAAAAGUGAACAAUACCAAAUUAAAAUAAACA